UCCCCAAUAGCUCAGCGGUAGAGCGGUCGGCUGUUAACCGAUUUUAGUCGUAGGUUCAAAUCCUACUUGGGGAG
rnacentral:tRNA from 6 species